rnacentral:rRNA from 1 species
CCUACGGGCGGCAGCAGUGGGGAAUAUUGCACAAUGGGCGCAAGCCUGAUGCAGCCAUGCCGCGUGUGUGAAGAAGGCCUUCGGGUUGUAAAGCACUUUCAGCGGGGAGGAAGGCGGUGAGGUUAAUAACCUCAUCGAUUGACGUUACCCGCAGAAGAAGCACCGGCUAACUCCGUGCCAGCAGCCACGGUAAUACGGAGGGUGCAAGCGUUAAUCGGAAUUACUGGGCGUAAAGCGCACGCAGGCGGUCUGUCAAGUCGGAUGUGAAAUCCCCGGGCUCAACCUGGGAACUGCAUUCGAAACUGGCAGGCUAGAGUCUUGUAGAGGGGGGUAGAAUUCCAGGUGUAGCGGUGAAAUGCGUAGAGAUCUGGAGGAAUACCGGUGGCGAAGGCGGCCCCCUGGACAAAGACUGACGCUCAGGUGCGAAAGCGUGGGGAGCAAACAGGAUUAGAUACCCCUGUAGUC